AUUGAACGCUGGCGGCAGGCCUAACACAUGCAAGUCGAGCGGAUGCAGGGAGCUUGCUCCUGUAUUCAGCGGCGGACGGGUGCGUAAUGCCUAGGAAUCUGCCUGGUAGUGGGGGAUAACGUCCGGAAACGGUCGCUAAUACCGCAUACGUCCUGAGGGAGAAAGUAGGGGAUCUUCGGACCUCACGCUAUCAGAUGAGCCUAGUUCGGAUUAGCUAGUUGGUGGGGUAAAGGCCUACCAAGGCGACGAUCCGUAACUGGUAUGAGAGGAUGAUCAGUCACACUGAAUUGAGACGAGGUACAGACUACUACGGGAGGCAGGGGAGGGGAAUAUUGGACUAUGGGCGGAGGCCUGAUCCAGCCCUGCCGCGUGUGUGAAGAAGGUCUUCGGAUUGUAAAGCACAUUAAGUUGGGAGGAAGGGCAGUAAGUUAAUAGCUUGCUGUUUUGACGUUACCAUAAGAAUAAGCACCGGCUAACUUCGUG
rnacentral:rRNA from 1 species